AACCAAAAAUAGCUCAAAAAAUAACACAACUAAAUUAAUAAUACAACUUUAAAUAAAACAUUAAAUUUAAUUAAAGUAUCGGCGAUAGAAAUUUUAUCUGACGCUAUAGAAAAAGUACCGCAAGGGAAAAAAUGAAAGAAAAUGUAAGUAAAAAACAGCAAAGUUUAAUACUUGUACCUUUUGCAUAAUGACUCAACUAGAAAAUAUUAGCAAAAUGAACUGAAGUUAAGUGGCCCGAAACCAGACGAGCUACCUAUUUGGCAGCACACAGAGCAAACCCGUCUAUGUGGCAAAAUAGUGGGAUGACUACUAGGUAGUGGUGACAAGCCUAUCGAGCCUGGUGAUAGCUGGUUGUCCAGAACAGAAUUUUAGUUCUAAUUUAAGACUGCAAAAAAAUAAAUGAAUUGAAAUGUAGACUUAAAGGAUAAUCUAAAAGGGUACAGCCUUUUAGACCAGGGAAACAACCCUUAUUAGAGAGUAAGAAAUUAAUCAAACCACGAUAGUUGGCCUAAAAGCAGCCACCAAAUAAGAAAGCGUUCAAGCCCAACCGCACUUAAAAUUAAUUCCAACAACAAACUCAAUACCCCUAACAUAAAACUGGACUAUUCUAUUUACAAAUAGAAGCAACAAUGUUGAUAUGAGUAACAAGAAAUAAUUCUCCUCGCACAUGUGUAUACCAGAACGAAUAACUCACUGGUAGUUAUCAAAACAAAUACAACUAGUUAACCAAAUUAUUAUUAUUAAUUGUUAGUCCAACACAGGAGUGCAGUCAGGGAAAGAUCUAAAAAAGUAAAAGGAACUCGGCAAACACAAAUCCCGCCUGUUUACCAAAAACAUCACCUCUAGCAUAAAAAGUAUUAGAGGCACCGCCUGCCCAGUGACCUUAGUUUAACGGCCGCGGUAUUCUGACCGUGCAAAGGUAGCAUAAUCACUUGUUCUCUAAAUAGGGACUCGUAUGAACGGCUCCACGAGGAUUUUGCUGUCUCUUACUUUAAAUCAGUGAAAUUGACAUUCCCGUGAAGAGGCGGGGAUUAAAAAACAAGACGAGAAGACCCUAUGGAA
rnacentral:rRNA from 1 species